UCAUAAAAAAUCAAAUGUUUGGAGAGGAUGGCAAAAGGUUUAUAUGUACAGUAAACUCGUGAUUAAUGUCAAAAUUAAUUUGUGACAUGUGAAUUUUAAAGAAAGGCUAGCUCAAUUUGUGAAUUUAUGAAGCAUUUUGAAGCCUGAUUUGCCUCCUAUUAUGAAACCAGCUUAUUUUUUCUAUCAUUUUGUGAAAACCUAAAGAUUUCCCUGCCUGGAACCUUGCACUUAAAAAGAGUGAUAUGAAAUUUCCCUUUUAAAUUUUUGAUGCAUGAAAUGCUACAUUUAAAGUAUUGGUGAAACAUGAAUUUUUCUAAAAUCAGUGUUUGAAUGGGAUUGGGAACACCCUUUGCUUAAACUCAGCUCUUUGGAGUUAUUGAGAAAGGGGUGGUGAAGUGUAGCAAAAAAGUCUUCGGUGUUUGGAAAGGGCAAUUCAGUCCCAGAAUAUCUGAGUUCUUGAUAGGAGAAAUCUUUUUUGUGUUCCCUUUUUGUUUCUGAUUUUGAUAUAAAUAUUGUCCUUUAGAUGUAAAAUGGUGACCUUUGAGUCUUUUUCUGCACAGUUUCUAAACCAGAACCUCGAUCAUUGGGAAGGGACUGCAGUUGUUAAUGGAGAGUUCAAAUAUUUGAAGAUGACUGAUUCUAGAGGAAAAUAUCUGGUGUUCUUUUUCUAUCCCCUUGACUUUACUUUUGUUUGUCCAACGGAGAUCACUGCCUUUA